GAGGUAAACAGUGAGAUUGUUGCUACUGAUUGCAUGCAUGUAGUUUUCUUUGUUUUCAUCUUCUCAGUAAUAUUAGUUUUUGCAUGACAACAAUAUUGACACUAAGAAGAUUGCCAGAGAAAAUAAUUGUUACAGGGGAUUGUAUGCUGUCAUGUUUUUUCUAGCAACUCUUCUUUCCUUCUUUGAAACUAUAUAUAAAUUUAGGGACUGACUUGGAAAUUAAUAAAAAAAAAUAAUAACCGUGUUUGGGUAGUUGAAGGAAAUUAAGUGACGUCUCAGGAAUAGCCCUUAAGUUCUGAGUCUGAGACUCAAACUAAGGCAGCUGGAAGCCCGUAUUGAUCAGCUAACAUCUCUCUCAGAUUGCUACAAUUUCAUAGCUGGUGGAAUCCAACCAACCCUUUCUUUAUAUAGAGAAUGCAGAAGGAAAAACGAAAACAAUCCAAAGAUGAAGAAAACGAUUCAUCCUCGCGAAAGAGAAGAAAAGCAGACCUCAGUAAGCCUGUUAGUUUUGUCUCCACAGCUUCCAUGACAGAGCUAGAGUCGUCUCGAUCUAGGCCAAAAGGUGGGGGAAUAGGAUUUAUUUUUUGAUGAUUUUUUUUUUCUAAGCUCAGGGCAUGGCAUGGAAUGUCUAUCCAACUUGAGGUAUCUAAGAAUGAAUAAAUACAGUGAAAAGAAGUUUUCCGGUGGAAUAUUACCUAAACUCUCUCACCUGCAAGUCUUUAUACCAGAGGAGUGGUUUCCUAUCAUUGGGCUGUGAUUGCUUGAAAAGUUAUCCAACUUGGUUGAAAUAUU